rnacentral:tmRNA from 1 species
CCCCUUCCAUUCCCCGCGCGCCGUGCCUAUAUCGGACUUGCCGGUUUCGACCGGCUAUGACGAUAAAGUGUGUCGUGCAAUAGGCGCAGCGGACCCGGGGGCGGUACCCGGCGGCUCCACCAUCACCACCGGCCUAUGCUCAUCGGGCGUAGGGCCGGGCUCUGUUGUCGCAGAGGUGUUGAUGGGGCCGAACUAGGAUCGACGUGUGUUGAAAAGCGGUGCUUUCGUCCGGGCUGAGUAACCCGUUAAAGGCUCAAAACCCACAAGUGCCAACGACAACGAAGCACUCGCUCUCGCGGCGUAAUCUGACGGCCUGACGGCCUGAUCUUACAAAGCUAAAGCGCGGUUGAACCCACCGGGCAACAGAAGGGAAUUCA